UUUUUUUCUCCCUGCCUUUAGAAGAUUUUUCCAGCAUCACCCACACACCCGGCCACGGGAGGGGGUGGAGAGGUUGCUGUUUACAAUUCUAGGAAUAAAUGUGAAGGUCUCGAGUCCAAAAUGGCCAGCUUGGCUGGGCGCGGUGACUCAUGCCCAUCAUCCCAGCACUUUGGGAGGCCGAAGCAGGAGGAUCGCUUGAGCUCAAGAGUUUGAGACCAGCUUGACAAACAUGGAAACCCUACUUGGCUGUGCUUCCUGCUAACACGAGGCCCUGCGAUUGCUGAGAACAACAGCCCCGAGACUGCGCGGCUCCGGGGGGAAAAAAACCUGGCCCCCUUUCAAGCCUUGACAGAAAACCUUUCAGAGCCCUGAACUCCCACCAGCCCGAGGACGGCUCCGAUAGCGCUGACAAAUGAGCCGGGACUGUGCCCAGGGCUCCCAGGCUGGGAGGGGACCCCAGCUCCCUUGUUCCUUCCUAAGGUCGGGAAAAAAAAAGCGCGUGUCCCUUCCUCCACCACAGAGGAACAGAGAAGUGUUUGCAUUGGUGGAUUUUUAAAUACUUGUUUAUUUUUAUUAAAGUGCAAUUCACAUGAAA
rnacentral:antisense_RNA from 1 species